GAUGAACGCUGGCGGCGUGCCUAAUACAUGCAAGUCGAGCGAACAGACGAGGAGCUUGCUCCUUUGACGUUAGCGGCGGACGGGUGAGUAACACGUAGGUAACCUACCUAUAAGACUGGGAUAACUUCGGGAAACCGGAGCUAAUACCGGAUAAUAUUUCGAACCGCAUGGUUCGAUAGUGAAAGAUGGCUUUGCUAUCACUUAUAGAUGGACCUGCGCCGUAUUAGCUAGUUGGUAAAGUAACGGCUUACCAAGGCAACGAUACGUAGCCGACCUGAGAGGGUGAUCGGCCACACUGGAACUGAGACACGGUCCAGACUCCUACGGGAGGCAGCAGUAGGGAAUCUUCCGCAAUGGGCGAAAGCCUGACGGAGCAACGCCGCGUGAGUGAUGAAGGUCUUCGGAUCGUAAAACUCUGUUAUUAGGGAAGAACAAACGUGUAAGUAACUGUGCACGUCUUGACGGUACCUAAUCAGAAAGCCACGGCUAACUACGUG
rnacentral:rRNA from 1 species